AGAGUUUGAUCCUGGCUCAGGACGAACGCUGGCGGCAUGCCUAACACAUGCAAGUCGAACGGAGAUUACUUCGGUAAUCUUAGUGGCGAACGGGUGAGUAACGCGUAGGCAACCUGCCCUUCAGAUGGGGACAACAUCCCGAAAGGGGUGCUAAUACCGAAUGUGAUCACAACCUCGCAUGAGGAAGUGAUGAAAGAUGGCCUCUAUUUAUAAGCUAUCGCUGAAGGAUGGGCCUGCGUCUGAUUAGCUAGUUGGUAAGGUAACGGCUUACCAAGGCGAUGAUCAGUAGCCGGUCUGAGAGGAUGAACGGCCACAUUGGGACUGAGACACGGCCCAGACUCCUACGGGAGGCAGCAGUGGGGAAUCUUCCGCAAUGGGCGAAAGCCUGACGGAGCAAUGCCGCGUGAGUGAUGAAGGGAUUCGUCCCGUAAAGCUCUGUUGUCUAUGACGAAUGUGCAUGUUGUGAACAAUGACGUGUAAUGACGGUAGUAGACGAGGAAGCCACGGCUAACUACGUGCCAGCAGCCGCGGUAAUACGUAGGUGGCGAGCGUUAUCCGGAAUUAUUGGGCGUAAAGAGGGAGCAGGCGGCACUAAGGGUCUGUGGUGAAAGAUCGAAGCUUAACUUCGGUAAGCCAUGGAAACCGUAGAGCUAGAGUGUGUGAGAGGAUCGUGGAAUUCCAUGUGUAGCGGUGAAAUGCGUAGAUAUAUGGAGGAACACCAGUGGCGAAGGCGACGAUCUGGCGCAUAACUGACGCUCAGUCCCGAAAGCGUGGGGAGCAAAUAGGAUUAGAUACCCUAGUAGUCCACGCCGUAAACGAUGAGAACUAGGUGUUGGGGGAAUAACUCAGUGCCGCAGUUAACGCAAUAAGUUCUCCGCCUGGGGAGUAUGCACGCAAGUGUGAAACUCAAAGGAAUUGACGGGGGCCCGCACAAGCGGUGGAGUAUGUGGUUUAAUUCGAAGCAACGCGAAGAACCUUACCAGGCCUUGACAUCCCUUGCAGAGGUAUAGAGAUAUAUCCGAGGUUAUCAAGGAGACAGGUGGUGCAUGGUUGUCGUCAGCUCGUGUCGUGAGAUGUUGGGUUAAGUCCCGCAACGAGCGCAACCCUUAUGGUCAGUUACUACGCAAGAGGACUCUGGCCAGACUGCCGUUGACAAAACGGAGGAAGGUGGGGAUGACGUCAAAUCAUCAUGCCCUUUAUGACUUGGGCUACACACGUACUACAAUGGCGUUAAACAAAGAGAAGCAAGACCGCGAGGUGGAGCAAAACUCAGAAACAACGUCCCAGUUCGGACUGCAGGCUGCAACUCGCCUGCACGAAGUCGGAAUUGCUAGUAAUCGUGGAUCAGCAUGCCACGGUGAAUACGUUCCCGGGCCUUGUACACACCGCCCGUCACACCAUGAGAGCCGGGGGGACCCGAAGUCGGUAGUCUAACCGCAAGGAGGACGCCGCCGAAGGUAAAACUGGUGAUUGGGGUGAAGUCGUAACAAGGUAGCCGUAGGAGAACCUGCGGCUG
rnacentral:rRNA from 1 species